rnacentral:rRNA from 1 species
UACGAGGGGGGCUAGCGUUGCUCGGAAUUACUGGGCGUAAAGGGCGCGUAGGCGGAUAGUUUAGUCAGAGGUAAAAGCCCAGGGCUCAACCUUGGAACUGCCUUUGAUACUGGCUAUCUUGAGUACGGGAGAGGUGUGUGGAACUCCGAGUGUAGAGGUGAAAUUCGUAGAUAUUCGGAAGAACACCAGUGGCGAAGGCGACACACUGGCCCGUUACUGACGCUGAGGCGCGAAAGCGUGGGGAGCAAACAGG